rnacentral:rRNA from 1 species
GUCGAAUAGAGAAAUUCAUUCGUGUUAUAUGAUGAACGUAUAUUUUAAAUGUGUGGACGUAAAAUGGGAAGUAAUAUUUUCGUUAUCAGCGCCAUAUUUUAAAUACGAUUUUAUUAUAAACUCGUGCACUUUUCUCUUUGUAGGACGUCGCGAUCCGUUGAUAAAUAUAUGAAUUUUGUACGAUUUAUGACGUUAGGUAAAAGACCAUUUGUUACGUAUUGUGUUAAAACUUUACGAUUAUCUAAAUGGAACCUAUAACGAUACUAAUCGACUUAAUCGACGGUAUAAUAAAAUGAUAGUAUUAAUCCGCCUUAUUGGGCGUUAGAAUCGUAACAAGUAUUAUAGUAGUGUUUAACCGUGAUUGAAUAAUUAUUCUAUUCGGUACCUCUAUAGUAUUGUUGGUUGCGAAUAAAUUCUAACAGAGUUUUUUACUUAUCUGCGACGCUAUAGAUUUGGGUAAUUUCAGGACCCGUCUUGAAACACGGACCAAGGAGUCUAGCAUGUACGCAAGUCAUUGGGUAUAUUUAUAUAUAAAACCUAAAGGCGUAAUGAAAGUAAAUAUAAUUCGUUAAAUACGUAUUAUAUAGGGAAGAUGAAAUAAUAAUUUUUUUUUGUAAUGAAAAGGAAUAAAGUUCCGCAUUCCCGGGGCGUUUAGUUCUUGUAUAUUUUGCGUUUAUCGCGUAAUUUAUACGAGUUUAGGCGCACCAAGAGCGUACACGCUGGGACCCGAAAGAUGGUGAACUAUGCCUGGUCAGGACGAAGUCAGGGGAAACCCUGAUGGAGGUCCGUAGCGAUUCUGACGUGCAAAUCGAUCGUCGGA